rnacentral:rRNA from 1 species
GAUGAACGCUGGCGGCGUGCCUAAUACAUGCAAGUCGAGCGAACAGAUAAGGAGCUUGCUCCUUUGACGUUAGCGGCGGACGGGUGAGUAACACGUGGGUAACCUACCUAUAAGACUGGGAUAACUUCGGGAAACCGGAGCUAAUACCGGAUAACAUUUGGAACCGCAUGGUUCUAAAGUGAAAGAUGGUUUUGCUAUCACUUAUAGAUGGACCCGCGCCGUAUUAGCUAGUUGGUAAGGUAACGGCUUACCAAGGCGACGAUACGUAGCCGACCUGAGAGGGUGAUCGGCCACACUGGAACUGAGACACGGUCCAGACUCCUACGGGAGGCAGCAGUAGGGAAUCUUCCGCAAUGGGCGAAAGCCUGACGGAGCAACGCCGCGUGAGUGAUGAAGGGUUUCGGCUCGUAAAACUCUGUUAUUAGGGAAGAACAAACGCGUAAGUAACUGUGCACGUCUUGACGGUACCUAAUCAGAAAGCCACGGCUAACUACGUG